CGAAGCAUGUAUUUUUAUUUUUUUAUAAAGCGAGCACAAAAAUUCUAUUUAUUAAAUAUAAAGGAUGAAAAAUAUGGCUCAAAUUCUCAUAUUCUUUUAUUCUUUGAUCAUCAUUCCUUCUAUACUUCUUAUUGUAUCCGAUCGUAUUCCUUGCAUCGAUGAUAUGGAUUGUCCAGAUAUGUUUCCCUCUCUUAAUACGCAGUGCAUUGAUAAUUUUUGUGACGUCGUGUUAGGGUACAAUUGAAUUUGAGGAACCUCAACAAUGAUUGUGUUGUAUUGUUUGUUGCAUGACAAUUAUAUACGUGUUAUAAAUAUUAUAAGUGAUGUCUAUUUAGCAAUUAAGUAAUUAGGUUGUACUAUUAGCUCAUACAUACCAUUGUACUUCUUUCCUAAGUCAUUGUAUUUCACUAUAAAUAAACUCACAUGUAACCUAAUCGUAUGUCGCAUGAGAAUAACAUAAUACCAUAUUCUCUCUUCCUCUC